rnacentral:rRNA from 1 species
GUGGGGAAUAUUGGACAAUGGGCGAAAGCCUGAUCCAGCAAUGCCGCGUGCAGGAAGAAGGCCUUCGGGUUGUAAACUGCUUUUGUACGGAACGAAACGGUCCUGGUUAAUACCUGGGGCUAAUGACGGUACCGUAAGAAUAAGCACCGGCUAACUACGUGCCAGCAGCCGCGGUAAUACGUAGGGUGCAAGCGUUAAUCGGAAUUACUGGGCGUAAAGCGUGCGCAGGCGGUUUUGUAAGACAGGCGUGAAAUCCCCGGGCUCAACCUGGGAAUUGCGCUUGAGACUGCAAGGCUUGAGUGCGGCAGAGGGGGAUGGAAUUCCGCGUGUAGCAGUGAAAUGCGUAUAUAUGCGGAGGAACACCGAUGGCGACGGCAAUCCCCUGGGCCUGCACUGACGCUCAUGCACGAAAGCGUGGGGAGCAAACAGGAUUAGAAACCCGUGUAGUCC